GAUCGUUGAGCUGCAUUGGCGGGAUUUCGCCGUCUUCGUUUCUCUUUCUUCGCGGACGAACACGCGCUGGGGCUGCAGGCUUGCAGAUCCCUGGUCCUUGACUGGAUAUGCGUUAGGGGCUUGUAGCUCAGUUGGUUAGAGCGCGCGCUUGAUAAGCGUGAGGUCGGAAGUUCAAGUCUUCCCAGGCCCACCACUUUCAUCGAGUGUGCAUUCGUCUUCUGGUUACGGGGCCAUAGCUCAGCUGGGAGAGCGCGUGCUUUGCAAGCAUGAGGUCGUCGGUUCGAUCCCGUCUGGCUCCACCAGAUGGUUUGAUCACCGAGAUCUUGUACCGUCGUCCGCGAAACAUCACUUCGCACUUGCUAGUCCGGAUGGACAGUAAGCUGCGUGAUUUCUGACAUCGUAAAGAGGAGAUCGAUCCGAGUUGGAUCGUGCGGAGAAUAUCUGCGCGAUACUUCAUUAUCUCCGGAUCAUUUCGGCGCUCGCGCGCCUUUCAGUGUAGCUCACAAGGCUGCGGCUGAGAGACGGGCGAGUUGUGAAUGAUCCUUUUAGCGAAGCUUGACCGCCUCGCUAUCGGAACGAUCUUACGAAGCAAGCUGGUCUUUCUAGUCAAUGUCCGGCUGCAGAUAGCGUUCAUCGAGGGCGCGUGCCGCAAGGUAAUUCUGCAGACAACAUUCUGCCGAGUGUGUGGACAUUGAUAAUGAGAGCAAUCAAGUGCCUUAAGGGUGUUCGGUGGAUGCCUUGGCGCUGAGAG
rnacentral:tRNA from 1 species